rnacentral:rRNA from 1 species
AGUGAACGCUGGCGGUAGGCCUAACACAUGCAAGUCGAACGGCAGCACAGUAAGAGCUUGCUCUUACGGGUGGCGAGUGGCGGACGGGUGAGGAAUACAUCGGAAUCUACUUUUUCGUGGGGGAUAACGUAGGGAAACUUACGCUAAUACCGCAUACGACCUACGGGUGAAAGCAGGGGAUCUUCGGACCUUGCGCGAUUGAAUGAGCCGAUGUCGGAUUAGCUAGUUGGCGGGGUAAAGGCCCACCAAGGCGACGAUCCGUAGCUGGUCUGAGAGGAUGAUCAGCCACACUGGAACUGAGACACGGUCCAGACUCCUACGGGAGGCAGCAGUGGGGAAUAUUGGACAAUGGGCGCAAGUCUGAUCCAGCCAUACCGCGUGGGUGAAGAAGGCCUUCGGGUUGUAAAGCCCUUUUGUGGGUAAAGAAAAGCAGCAGGUUGAUACCCCGCUGUUCUGACGGUACCCAAAGAAUAAGCACCGGCUAACUUCGUG